rnacentral:rRNA from 1 species
AGUGAACGCUGGCGGUAGGCCUAACACAUGCAAGUCGAACGGCAGCACAGUAAGAGCUUGCUCUUACGGGUGGCGAGUGGCGGACGGGUGAGGAAUACAUCGGCAUCUACUUUUUCGUGGGGGAUAAUGUAGGGAAACUUACGCUAAUACCGCAUACGACCUACGGGUGAAAGCAGGGGAUCUUCGGACCUUGCGCGAUUGAAUGAGCCGAUGUCGGAUUAGCUAGUUGGCGGGGUAAAGGCCCACCAAGGCGACGAUCCGUAGCUGGUCUGAGAGGAUGAUCAGCCACACUGGAACUGAGACACGGUCCAGACUCCUACGGGAGGCAGCAGUGGGGAAUAUUGGACAAUGGGCGAAAGCCUGAUCCAGCCAUACCGCGUGGGUGAAGAAGGCCUUCGGGUUGUAAAGCCCUUUUGUUGGGAAAGAAAAGCAGCAGGUUAAUACCCCGCUGUUCUGACGGUACCCAAAGAAUAAGCACCGGCUAACUUCGUG